AUUCAAGCCCUGAGAGUCCACCGUUAGCCUCCACUCACCGUUAGACUUUUGCACUGGCCAUAUAGGACUAUUAAAGGGUG